rnacentral:lncRNA from 1 species
UUCGAUCCGGUUCUCUCAGCAACUGAAUCUAGUGUCCUAGAAUCGUUUGGAUGUACUGUUUUGUCUGUGAAUGAGCAGGCUCGUAGAGAAGCCUUGAAGCCUACUCUUUUCUUCAUGCCACACUGUGAGGCCAAUCUGUACAAUAACCUGUUGCAAGCAAACUGGAGGAUGGAUAGGUUGUCGAGAAUAGCAUUGUUUGGGAACAGCUUUCAGAUGUAUGAGGAGCAGGUGACGUUAGACCCGGAAGUCAUCCGAGCCACCAAACGGGUCAUAGCUGCACGAAGAAUCACUAGUGAGUUUGCUAUUGAGACGGUAUCUGAUGAUUAUUUUCCAGCCUUCCAUGAUUCAAGCUGGCAUUUUUUCAGCUCCUGUUUAGAUUCGGAGCUGCCAUUGUUGGUUUCAGAGGGAUUAUAGAUCAUUGUUUUUUGCAUUUUGUCAGGUCUUUGUUUUGUCUAUCCUCUUCCUGCAUAAGUUUAACCAUUAAAGUUGUUGACUUUAUCAUUGGUUUAAUAUUUGCUUGAAAACCUGAAUAUUUUAUCACAAAUUUACAUGUUCUCUUCACUCUGUUGUAUUUAGUUUUCACAGCUAAGUUGAUCUUCUUGGUUUAGAUUUGUGUUUGUUGUGACUCCAAGUUGUGGUAAUUAGUUGUUAUAAUUGCAAUUUGUCUGUUUUCAUUAGUUGCCAACAAAUGAGAGGAGACAAAGACAAAAGGUAGUUGAGCAAUAUCAGUCUUUCUUUAAUUUUAAUAUUAAAAAGACAAUUACAAAAGUUUUCGUGUAUGUAUAAUGUAUUUUAUCAACUUGGCACCUAUAUACUAGUAUCAAAUAGUCAAUGCAUAUAUAGAUACGAGUUGGUUUAGAUAAUGUAUUCUAUCAGUUUAUUGAGCCAUCAACGUGUAAGAAAUCUAAUUUUCUAAAGACUUCCCACCUUCCACCUCUUUGCCAAACAUUAUAACAUGUCACAAAUUGUUUUACUUUUUUUUUUUUGUCAACCACAAAUUGUUUUACUUAACAAAUGUAAAAUACAGCAUUUAAGUUAUAAAAAGGGGAAAAGUGAAAUAAUUAUGAAGCAGUCGGCACACUUUUGCUUCUGUCAUGAUUCACAGGCCGAAACGAUGUCGUCUGGUGGUUUUUCCCAGAAAAAACGGAGAUCAAAUGGGUUCCACAUAAGGCCCACAAACAGCGGACACGGCGCUACUUUUGAAUUUUCUUUAAAAAAACGUUCAGCGUUGGGUCAAAACACCUUACAGACGCCUCGAACGUUCCUCUCCUAGACAUAACGACUGUUAAUACCUCGCUAUCUUCGACCCAGUCAAAGAAUUACCACGUGUCUAUUUACCGUCUAAAUCCAACGUCGUUAAUUCCGCUCCCGCGACCGCUUUAAAAGCCACGUUUUCAUAUUCUCAUCUCUCUCUCAUUUAACUAUUAGUCAGCGAUUCCUCUCUCUCUCUCUCAGAUCCUCUCACCAAGUCAGAAGGUUUAAAAGAUGCCGUCGACGCCGCCUACAACUCCGAUCACGACGUCGUAUUGAGAACAGCUCAAGUGCCCCGAGGUUUCGGACCAGUUCCGCCUCGUGUUGGGAACCGAAACACAGCUUCAGAUGGUGAUGUAUGGUAUAGGAAGCAUCGAGUCUUAUGAAUCUCCUAGGUUUCAGCUCAGCAUUGCGAUCUUGAUGAAGAGGGAGUUUGAUUGGGUUGGUAACAUUGAAGUGUUCGAUCCGGUUCUCUCAGCAACUGAAUCUAGUGUCCUAGAAUCGUUUGGAUGUACUGUUUUGUCUGUGAAUGAGCAGGCUCGUAGAGAAGCCUUGAAGCCUACUCUUUUCUUCAUGCCACACUGUGAGGCCAAUCUGUACAAUAACCUGUUGCAAGCAAACUGGAGGAUGGAUAGGUUGUCGAGAAUAGCAUUGUUUGGGAACAGCUUUCAGAUGUAUGAGGAGCAGGUGACGUUAGACCCGGAAGUCAUCCGAGCCACCAAACGGGUCAUAGCUGCACGAAGAAU